UGACCUCGGAUCAGACGUGAUUACCGCUGAAUUUAGCAUAAUUAUUAAGCGGAGGAAAAGAAACUAACAAGGGAUUCCCCUAGUUAACGCGCGAUAGUGAACGGGGAAGACCACACCGAAUCCCUUGUCGCGCAAGUCAACGAAAUGUGGUGUUAAGGUAGCCCUUCGUGUCAGUCUAGGGGUCUCAAAGUACACGUCUGAUUGUGGCUCAAGCCCAGAGAGUGUGUAAGGCCCGUAGAGACGCUUUCCUACAUUUGAUUCCUGGGUUUACCUACGAGUCGGCUUGUUUGGGAAUGCAGGCCAAAGCGGGUGGUAAACUCAUCCAAGGGCUAAUACUGGCACGAGUCCGAUAGCGGACAAGCUACACCGUGAGGGAAAGUUGAAAAGAACUUUGAAGAGAGAGUUCAAUAGUACGUGAAACCGCUUAGAAGGCAAACGGAUGGUCUGCUCAUAUUGGCCUGAGGAAUUCAACUGUGACGGUGGCUGGACGAGCUGGCGUUCCGAUCUCUUUUUUGGGAGCGGGCGUCGGUUUGGCUAUCAGCUCCGACCAUUGGUGCACUUUCCUUGGUGCUCCGCCACGACGACGGACACUGGCUACGCGGCUGUGGGUAGGUGACAAACUGCUUCGGCAAUUUGUGUUAUAGACCCCGGGAUUCGGACAUUGGUUUGGCCAGGACGUCGAGCUUGCGGCGCCCCGCUCCUUGUGGGCUGCAAUGUUGGCUAGACUUGGCUGCGGCCGAUGCUUGCACUGGAAACGCAGUACAGGUGACGGUUGUGUGGUCUUGUCUCUAUGUUGGCCUCUGCGAGUUUGGCGCCCUAUAUGUCUGUGGUGUAUUGUGGGUAGACCUAUCGACCCGUUUUGAAACACGGACAGGAGUCUCUAACAUGUGCGCGAGUCAUGGGGAUUUCUACGAACCGCAAAGGCGCAGUGAAAGUAAAGGCCUGCUUCUGACGUAGGGGCUGAGGUGGGAUCUCGUGGCAUUCGCGAAAUUGGCGAGCGCACACCGGCCGCGUCUAUCUGGUCUUGUCAGUGGGGCGGCGCAAGAGCGUACACCACACGUUGGGACCCGAAGAUGGUGGAAUAGUGAACUUAAUGCUUGCGCUCAGCUCGAAGUCAGUGGAAACACCUGAUGGAGGAGCGCAGCGUUUUCAAUGAGUGCAAAUCGAUCGUAAAACGUGAAGUAUAGGGCAAAGACUAAUCGAAACGCAUCGUAGUAGCUUGGUUCCUCCGAAGUUUCCUCUCAGGAUUAGCUGGCACUCGCGGAAACAGUUUUAUCCGGUUAAGCGAAUGAUUAGAGCAUUGGUCGGUCGAAACGACUCGACUAUUCUCAAAACUUUAAAUGGGUUAAGUUGCCUCGUCUCGCGUUAAUUGGAGGCGGGCUUCACUCUCUAUAACGUGAAUGUGAGUGCCAUGUGGGCAUUUUUGGUAAGGCAAGAAUGGCGCUGUUGGGAAAUGAAGCCAAACGCGCGGUUGAAGGCGCCCAAUGCGGACGCUCAUGACGGACACCACAAAAGGUGUUGGUCCGAUACUGACAGCAGGAUCGGUACUGGCCAUGGAAGUCGGACAUGGAACGCUAAGGAGUGUGUAACUCACCUGCGAAUCCACUCAGCCUGAAAGCCUGGAUGGCGCUGGAGCGUCGGGCCUAUACCGUGCCGUUGGGCGAAAGCAGAUCAAUAAUCCUGUGUGGAUGUCCCAACGAGUAGGAGGGUCGCCGGUG
rfam:Macrostomum lignano unitig_40314, whole genome shotgun sequence.